rnacentral:rRNA from 1 species
UACGAAGGGGGCUAGCGUUGUUCGGAAUCACUGGGCGUAAAGAGCUCGUAGGUGGUUCGGUAAGUCGGAUGUGAAAUCUCCAGGCUCAACCUGGAGGGGUCAUUCGAUACUGCCGUGACUAGAGUUCGGUAGGGGAGUGUGGAAUUCCUGGUGGAGCGGUGAAAUGCGCAGAUAUCAGGAGGAACACCCGUAGCGAAGGCGGCACUCUGGGCCGAUACUGACACUGAGGAGCGAAAGCGUGGGGAGCGAACAGG